rnacentral:rRNA from 1 species
CCACCCUUUAAUGUUUGAUGUUCUAACGUUGACCCGUAAUCCGGGUUGCGGACAGUGUCUGGUGGGUAGUUUGACUGGGGCGGUCUCCUCCUAAAGAGUAACGGAGGAGCACGAAGGUUGGCUAAUCCUGGUCGGACAUCAGGAGGUUAGUGCAAUGGCAUAAGCCAGCUUGACUGCGAGCGUGACGGCGCGAGCAGGUGCGAAAGCAGGUCAUAGUGAUCCGGUGGUUCUGAAUGGAAGGGCCAUCGCUCAACGGAUAAAAGGUACUCCGGGGAUAACAGGCUGAUACCGCCCAAGAGUUCAUAUCGACGGCGGUGUUUGGCACCUCGAUGUCGGCUCAUCACAUCCUGGGGCUGAAGUAGGUCCCAAGGGUAUGGCUGUUCGCCAUUUAAAGUGGUACGCGAGCUGGGUUUAGAACGUCGUGAGACAGUUCGGUCCCUAUCUGCCGUGGGCGCUGGAGAACUGAGGGGGGCUGCUCCUAGUACGAGAGGACCGGAGUGGACGCAUCACUGGUGUUCGGGUUGUCAUGCCAAUGGCACUGCCCGGUAGCUAAAUGCGGAAGAGAUAAGUGCUGAAAGCAUCUAAGCACGAAACUUGCCCCGAGAUGAGUUCUCCCUGACUCCUUGAGAGUCCUGAAGGAACGUUGAAGACGACGACGUUGAUAGGCCGGGUGUGUAAGCGCAGCGAUGCGUUGAGCUAACCGGUACUAAUGAACCGUGAGG